GAUGAACGCUGGCGGUAUGCUUAACACAUGCAAGUCGAACGGACUCUCCGGAGUUAUUUGCGGUCGGGGGAGUAACGCGGGAGAAGCUGGCUUUGGGUUCGGGACAACCACUGUAAACGGUGGCUAAUGCCGGAUGGGCUGAGACGGAAUAGAAAAAUUGCCUGCAGAGGAGCGCGGGUCUGAUUAGCUAGUUGGUGAGUUAAAGGCCCACUAAUGCAGCGAUCAGUAGCUGCUCUGAGUGGAUGAGCAGCCACAGUGGGACUGAGACACGGCAGAGACGAAUACGGGAGGGAGGAGUGGAGAAUUGUACACAAUGGGCGAGAGUCUGACGGAGCCAUACCGCGUGAGAGAAGAGGGCUCUUGGGUUGAAAACCUGUUUCCUUAGAGAAGGACAAAAUGACGGUACCUAAUGAAUAAGCAUCGGCUAACUACGUG
rnacentral:rRNA from 1 species